GUCGGGCGGGCGCGGGACCAGCCGCUGAAGCAAGACUGGGCACGUCCACCCUACGAGUGAGGAGACACUCAGCCACGGCUCUGCUAGAACUUGGACCCACGUCUCCUGACUCCUAAGCGCAGGGCUCCUGCUUUCCGAUGCAGCCACUCCCGGAGCACUUGUUCUGAACAAUUCGUACAUUCUGUAAAUUCAGCAUUCCAGCUCUAGCCUUUACCGUCGGGCAGACGGCUGUCGGAAAGGCGCUUGGCCGCUCGGAGCGCUCCAGUGAGAGAAUUACGCCUGUGGGAGUCGGCACGCAGGCGUGCACAGCAGCCGAGGAGAAACAGGAGGGAUCGUGAGGGCGUGUCACGAGGCGGGGCAGGGGCCAGGGUUGCAGCAAGUGUAGAGGUGGAGUCCGGGAGCAGCUGCUGCUCGCUGCCAGCCUGCUGUCCACCUGGUCUCCUGUUGCUCAACAAAUGCGGGAAAUCCAGCCUGUGGGCCUGCGUGGGACUCUAGCUGCGCGCACUAUCUGUGAAAAGCCGUCCUGCGCACCUUGCUCGGGCCAGGUCCUCACUGAGCUCCUCUCGCUCUCCCCCGGGACUAUGUCUUCCCUUCUGCUGGCCCCUGCUUGCCCUCUUCUCAUUACCCCCACAGCAUGAUCCAGCAAGAUUGGCCCUGGCACCAAAAGAUGUGGACUUCAGCUGUGUAGUUUACUGGGCUCUUCUGAGACCCGACUCAGCUUAGUGAGUUGGUUGAAUGGAGCAAAAAGUCAUACUUUCCAUCAACUAGAGAUUGGUGAGGUCAGAUGAGGAGGAAGAAUCCUCUUCUCGCCGUGGGUUGC
rnacentral:lncRNA from 1 species